UACGGAGGGUGCAAGCGUUAUCCGGAUUCACUGGGUUUAAAGGGUGCGUAGGAGGGCAGGUAAGUCAGUGGUGAAAUCUCCAAGCUUAACUUGGAACUGCCGUUGAUACUAUCUGUCUUGAAUACCGUGGAGGUGAGCGGAAUAUGUCAUGUAGCGGUGAAAUGCUUAGAUGAUGAACAUAGAACACCAAUUGCGAAGGCAGCUCGC
rnacentral:rRNA from 1 species